rnacentral:tRNA from 1 species
GCCUUCGUGGUGUAAUGGUAGCACAAUCUGCCCGUAUUCGAGGGGAUCUAGGUUCGAGUCCCGGCAAAGGCA